rnacentral:lncRNA from 1 species
AGGUAUGUAGGGAGUAUUAUUGUUGUCUAAACAAAAAGAGGUGAUGUUUCUUUUACAACAAAGACCGUUUCCGUCCCGGCUUAUAUUGAAAGCUUAAAAAAGCGGUUUACAUUUGGGAUACCAGUUUGAGCGACAUUUAUUAUCCAACAAAGCCAAAGAACCAUCUAAACGCUACUGGCUCAAUGCUGUUCUAACAACCACCAAACUACAUGGACUUAACGAAUGCGAAGACUCCAGUAGACAACAACGCCAAAACGGGCCCAGCCUAAACAUCAGAACGCUGCUCAAACGUCUUCUCGCCAUCCUGCAAAGGCGCCUUCCUCUCUCGACUUGAGAUAUCGCUCACUUCCUCCAUCUCUUCUUCAGCAAAUCUUUCACCAUGUCCUCCCCAGCAGAGGUGCCUAUUGACGAGUCAACAUAUUUUUGGCUAGUGGCGGAGCCCGUGAAAAUCCACACCUAGAGCCACUAUCUAAGUGCCUAAGUAAUUCUUAAUGAACCCACAUUAGAGAUAGGUGAAAAAGUUUUUGGGUAGAAAACUAAAACAAGGCCUUAGAUAUACUCUAAAUAUAUAAUAAAAGUAAUAUAUCUAAAAAAGUCAAGAUAUCUUAUAAUUUGGAAUAGAUGGAGUACUUUAUAAGAAAUCUCACUUUUAUGCACAUUUGUAGAAUAAACAUGGUAAAAGUAUGAUAUGGUACAAAAUAUGUUAUCUGUACCUAAUAAUUAUGGACAACUAUUGAUUCAUCCAUAUCUAUCAUAUCAUCCACGUUAGCAAGUAAACAUCAACAAAUAUUUAAAAGUUUGUUUAUAAAUAGGGUUUAGAAGAGCAGAGAAGGGUUUAAGACCCGUACAAAACACAAGGUCCUUGUAUCAUCUUUUUUUUUGAAGAAACAGGAGGGGCAAAGCCCCUACUGAAAUAUAUUUAACCAAAAGAAAGAGAAGCGUUUAGAACCCAUACAACAGAGAAGUUCCUUGAUUCAUCUUUGAAAAAUUGGUAAUUGGUUCAACUCUGACAGACAGGACAACAUUUUAAGAAAGAUGCUCAAUAAAGGCCCCUUAUGCUCACAAACAUGCUAAAAACAAAAUUUAAGAAACAUGCUCAAUAAGCCCCCUUAGGCUCACAAAUAUGCCAAAACAAAAAUUAAAAAAACAUGCUCAAUAAGCCCCCUUAUGCUCACAAAUAUGCCAAAAACAAAAAAUACAUGCUAAAAACAAAAACUAAAAAACAUGCUCAAUAAGCCCCGUUAUGCUCACAAAUAUGCCAAAAACAAAAAAAAUAGCCCAUGCAGGUCUCGAACCUGCGACCUUAUAUUUAACCAAAAGAAAGAGAAGCGUUUAGAACCCAUACAACAGAGAAGUUCCUUGAUUCAUCUUUGAAAAAAUUGGUAAUUGGUUCAACUCUGACAGACAGGACAACAUUUUAAGAAAGAUGCUCAAUAAAGGCCCCGUAUGCUCACAAACAUGCUAAAAACAAAAACUAAGAAACAUGCUCAAUAAGGCCCAUAUGCUCACAAAUAUGCCAAAAACAAAAAAUACAUGCUAAAAACAAAAACUGAAAAACAUGCUCAAUAAGCCCCGUUAUGCUCACAAAUAUGACAAAAACAAAAAAAUGGCCCAUGCAGGUCUCGAACCUGCGACCUUGGCGUUAUUAGCACCACGCUCUAACCAACUGAGCUAAUGGGCC